rnacentral:rRNA from 1 species
AGCCCAACAGCUAGCCUCUCAACCUAAACUCAAAAAUUUUAUAUACAUAAACCCCUAUAAACUAACCAGACAAAUCAAAUCAUUUUUCCACCUAAGUAUGUGCGACAGAAAAGGAAAACACGAGCGCUAUAGAAAAAGUACCGCAAGGGAAAGCUGAAAGAGAAGUGAAAGAAUUCAGUAAAGCAUAAAAAAGCAGAGCCUAAUACUCGUACCUUUUGCAUCAUGAAUUAGCAAGUCCCCCCAAGCAAAAAGGUUUUUAGUUUGACACCCCGAAACUUGACGAGCUACUCCAAGGCAGCCUAAUAAUAGGGCAAACCCGUCUCUGUGGCAAAAGAGUGGGAAGAACUUUGAGUAGAGGUGACAGACCUACCGAGUCGAGUUAUAGCUGGUUGCCUGGAAAAUAAAUAGAAGUUUAGCCUUUUGCCUUCUCCUGUCAACCCUGGCCUGCCCUAAGCCCAGAAAGCGAGAAUGCUAAAAGAGUUAUUCGAAGGGGGUACAGCCCCUUUGAAAAAAGAUACAACUUUAAUAGGUGGAUUCCAAACAAAUUUUUAAAGGUAAAUAUCUUGGUGGGCCUAAAAGCAGCCAUCCUGAAAGAAAGCGUUAAAGCUCAAAUAUACAAAUUACCCUUUAUCCCGUUAGUACUUUGCAUUCCCCUUACCUUACCAAGCCAUCCUAUCCCCCAUAGGAAAGAUCAUGCUAAUAUGAGUAAUAAGAGAAUAUGCUUCUCUCCAAGCACAUGUGUAAAUCGGAACGGACCCGCCCCCGAGAAUUAACGGACCUAACCCAAGAAGGAACUAGAGUAAAAACUGACAACAAGAAAAACCUCUACAACUUUUACCGUUGACCCUACACUGGUGUGCCCCCCAGGAAAGACUAAAAAGAGAAGAAGGAACUCGGCAAAUUAUGCUCAAGCCUCGCCUGUUUACCAAAAACAUCGCCUCUCGGUAACUACAUAUGAGAGGUCCCGCCUGCCCUGUGACUAAUGUUUAACGGCCGCGGUAUCUUGACCGUGCAAAGGUAGCGCAAUCACUUGUCUUUUAAAUGAAGACCUGUAUGAAUGGCUAAACGAGGGCUUAACUGUCUCCUUCUCUAGGUCAAUGAAAUUGAUCUCCCCGUGCAGAAGCGGGGAUACCAACAUAAGACGAGAAGACCCUAUGGAGCUUUAGACACAAUGGCAGAUCAUGU